rnacentral:rRNA from 1 species
UACGGGGGGGGGCAAGCGUUUGUUCGGAAUUACUGGGCGUAAAGGGCGCGUAGGCGGCCUUCUAAGUCGGACGUGAAAUCCCUCGGCUUAACCGAGGAACUGCGUCCGAUACUGAAAGGCUUGAAUCCGGGAGAGGGAUGUGGAAUUCCAGGUGUAGCGGUGAAAUGCGUAGAUAUCUGGAGGAACACCGGUGGCGAAGGCGGCAUCCUGGACCGGCAUUGACGCUGAGGCGCGAAAGCGUGGGGGAGCAAACAGGAUUAAGAAAC